rnacentral:rRNA from 1 species
GACGAACGCUGGCGGCGUGCUUAACACAUGCAAGUGGAGCGACGAACCAGGGCUUGCCCUGGGGCAGAGCCGCGAACGGGUGAGUAACACGUGGGGAACCUACCCCGAAGACUGGGACAACCCGGGGAAACUCGGGCUAAUACCAGAUGUGGUCCCACUACAUAAGUGGUGUGACUAAAGGAAGCUUCGGCCUCCGCUUUGGGAGGGUCCCGCGGCGCAUUAGCUUGUUGGUGAGGUAACGGCUCACCAAGGCUUCGAUGCGUAGCUGGUCUGGGAGGACGAUCAGGCACACUGGGACUGAGACACGGGCCAGACUCCUACGGGAGGCAGCAGUGGGGAAUCUUGCGCAAUGGGCGACAGCCUGACGCAGCAACGCCGCGUGGGGGAAGAAGGCCUUCGGGUUGUAAACCUCUUUCAGGAGGGGCGAAGCUUUGCCGGUGAAUAGCCGUGUGAAGUGACGGUACCUCACAAGCAGCCCCGGCUAACUACGUGCCAGCAGCCGCAGUAAAAC